UGGUGGCUGUCAUGGCGGCAAUGAAGGUAUGUACCGCCAAUCCUAGUAUGAUGGCAAUGGAGAAAUAAAAAACAAUGAUGAAGGAAGAAGUUAAGUAUUCGGAGAAAAAACGAGGAAGAAGAUUGAUGAAUGGCGGCGGUGAACUAGUGUGAUUGAGGAAGUGAUCGGCAAAGAGGGGAGGAAGAAGAAAGAACAUUUUUUCCACAAAAAAAUGCCUAACUAAAGACCUCCCACGCGCCUAUUUUGGGUGAAUCACAAACAAUGUGCCAUGUAGGCAAAAAAUGUUCAGAUG
rnacentral:lncRNA from 1 species